UUCAGCAGGAAGUAGUUACAGA
rnacentral:misc_RNA from 1 species